UACGUAGGGGGCAAGCGUUGUCCGGAAUUAUUGGGCGUAAAGCGCGCGCAGGCGGUUUUUUAAGUCUGGUGUAUAAGGCCUAGGCUCAACCUAGGUGCGCACUGGAAACUGGGGAACUGGAGUGCAGAAGAGGAGAGUGGAAUUCCACGUGUAGCGGUGAAAUGCGUAGAGAUGUGGAGGAACACCAGUGGCGAAGGCGACUCUCUGGACUGUAACUGACGCUGAGGCGCGAAAGCGUGGGGAGCAAACGGG
rnacentral:rRNA from 1 species